rnacentral:rRNA from 1 species
AGCGGAUGAGGGAGCUUGCUCCUGGAUUCAGCGGCGGACGGGUGAGUAAUGCCUAGGAAUCUGCCUGGUAGUGGGGGACAACGUUUCGAAAGGAACGCUAAUACCGCAUACGUCCUACGGGAGAAAGCAGGGGACCUUCGGGCCUUGCGCUAUCAGAUGAGCCUAGGUCGGAUUAGCUAGUUGGUGAGGUAAUGGCUCACCAAGGCGACGAUCCGUAACUGGUCUGAGAGGAUGAUCAGUCACACUGGAACUGAGACACGGUCCAGACUCCUACGGGAGGCAGCAGUGGGGAAUAUUGGACAAUGGGCGAAAGCCUGAUCCAGCCAUGCCGCGUGUGUGAAGAAGGUCUUCGGAUUGUAAAGCACUUUAAGUUGGGAGGAAGGGUUGUAGAUUAAUACUCUGCAAUUUUGACGUUACCGACAGAAUAAGCACCGGCUAACUCUGUGCCAGCAGCCGCGGUAAUACAGAGGGUGCAAGCGUUAAUCGGAAUUACUGGGCGUAAAGCGCGCGUAGGUGGUUCGUUAAGUUGGAUGUGAAAUCCCCGGGCUCAACCUGGGAACUGCAUCCAAAACUGGCGAGCUAGAGUAUGGUAGAGGGUGGGGUGAAAUUUCCUGUGUAGCGGUGAAAUGCGUAGAUAUAGGAAGGAACACCAGUGGCGAAGGCGACCACCUGGACUGAUACUGACACUGAGGUGCGAAAGCGUGGGGAGCAAACAGGAUUAGAUACCCUGGUAGUCCACGCCGUAAACGAUGUCAACUAGCCGUUGGGAGCCUUGAGCUCUUAGUGGCGCAGCUAACGCAUUAAGUUGACCGCCUGGGGGAGUACGGCCGCAAGGUUAAAACUCAAAUGAAUUGACGGGGGCCCGCACAAGCGGUGGAAGCAUGUGGUUUAAUUCGAAGCAACGCGAAGAACCUUACCAGGCCUUGACAUCCAAUGAACUUUCCAGAAGAUGGAUUGGUGCCUUCGGGAACAUUGAGACAGGUGCUUGCAUGGCUGUCGUCAGCUCGUGUCGUGAGAAUGUUUGGGUUAAGUCCCGUAACGAGCGCAACCCUUGUCCUUAGUUACCAGCAACGUAAUGGUGGGCACUCUAAGGAGACUGCCGGUGACAAACCGGAGAGAAAGGUGGGGGAUGAACUUCAAGUCAUCAGGGGCCCUUACGGCCUGGGCU